GGUUGGGCGAAAGCUUCAAGGAUUCAGUUCUUCAAGGGGUGAGAAGAA
rnacentral:ncRNA from 28 species